UGAAAAUUUCCCACAGGCGGAGAUGGGGGGUGAGCCUCCAGAAGGAGCAGAUGGCAGAAGCAGAUGCACGGACGGGGGCUGUCGUGGGGCUUCUCUGGGAAGCCGCUCCGUUUUCCAGGAGCGGAGUGUGUGCCUAAGCUCCCAGGAGCAUGCCUGGCAUGGGAGGGCUCCUCGGCGCAUGUUUAAGACGGAGGAUGCCACAGACCCUCGAGGGUCACGGGGGUAACGAGGUUCUGGCCAGUGCUCGCUCAUCUGCCUCCCCGGGCCUCUUCCUGAUUCGGUGAACCCAUCCCUUUGUCCCUCCCCUCACUCCUGGCUGCGGCUCCCUGAGGACCUGAGAAGUGUCGGGGCAGCCAGGAGAGAUGAAAAGAUUUACUUUGAAACCUCCCGGGGAGCAGCUGUGGUUCAGGGAGGUUCUGCUUCAUGCUUUUGAUCCUGGGACCCUCUGAGAAUGAGCUGGAAGCUGCUGUGACUCCCUCCCCAGCAUCUUAAGCCAGUAGCCUGCCCCCUGGCAGCAUGUGGCCAGCACCAAGGAGAAUGGAUCCCUGGCACUCACUUAUCCAGACUCUGUCCUGAAUGUCUAGCGUCCACCCAUCAUAUGAUCUGCUUCCCUGCCUGUUCCUGACCUCAUCAGCUCCUGACCCCCAGCCUUUUCCACCUGUCUGUUAGUAACAAUUAGAGGAGGAAGGGCUGCUCUGGCCUUGGGAGAGUCACCACGGUGACUGGACAGAGCAUGGUGGGCACAUCCACUGGGGUCCUGGCUCUGCUGAUAAUGAGCUGUGUGGUGCUAGGUGGGCUCCUGAACUGCCCCUAGCAUUUUUCCUGCGUAGGUGACAGAACAAAUGCUACAGAUCAGUUGGCUGAGCCCCAGUGAUACUCCAGGAACCCAGGAACUAACUGGCGUCGAGGAAGACUGGCAGCUCCCCAAGAGCAGGGACGCUCUUUUCCCCAGCACCUGGGGCAGUCCCCACCACAUAGUGGAGCUCAGGAAAUAGUGGUUGAGGGGAUGGAUGGAAGAACUGGACUCAUAAAGGCCUGAGGCUGGCCACAAGAAAGGCAAUUGUUUUUCCUAGAACCUACCUUUCCUAAGACACUGUGGAUACCACUGAUGUGGCAAAUGACAGGACUGAGACAAGGGGUGAGAUUCCAGGAAGAAGACGACCUGAAAAGUUGGCAUGAUGCUAUAGCUUUAUAUCUGAGAUGGUUUUGGAGGAAAACACUGGACCCUGUAAUUAUUUCCACAAAUCACAUAGCACAGGAUAACAUACUCAUAGAUGAUUUUAGAUCUAAAUCCCUUCUGCUCGCGUUUAUGAAAUAGAAGCCUCUCACCUGUGUGAAUGGGAAGACCUACCGAGCUGUUUUGGAAGAGAAAGGCCAGAACUACAUUAAAUCAUGCAGAAUGCGACAAAUGGGCCCUGUAAUGUUCAAGUCAUCAAUACGGCCAUCGACCCCCAGGAGACUUGUGGGGGGUCCUGGCACUGAGCAGGCUCAGAACUGCCCUGAGCUAUUGAUAGAAAUGGCCAGAGAGAGAUCAUUGGCCCGAGGUCACACAGUAAGGGGUUCAUGCUGAUAUUUUCAUCCUUCCAGUCUAUCUGAUGACAAAAUUAUCCCCCGACAGCACUGGGGCAUUACCGAAAGAAUAGAAUCUGUCUGGGCAAAUACGUGAGCUGCCAUUUGGAGCUCUGGGGAGAAGGGAGCCACAUCAGCCGAGAGCGAUGGCCAUCUCAGCGUGCCCGCGUUCUGAGAAGUGGAAACAGUCCUCGGAGAAGAAGGUGAGGUCAGCGCCUCCUCGCUGUGACCAAAGGCAAGGGGAUUAUCUUCCUGGGAAGAGGGCACUGCUACC